ACCCUGUAGUCACCCUAAACGAUGUCUACUAGUUGUGGGAGAGACCUCCUGUGACGCAGCUAACGCGUGAAGUAGACCGCCUGGGGAGUACGGUCGCAAGAUAAAACUCAAAGGAAUUGACGGGGGCCCGCACAAGCGGUGGAUUAUGUGGAUUAAUUCGAUGCAACGCGAAAAACCUUACCUGGCCUUGACAUGCCACUAACGAAGCAGAGAUGCAUCAGGUGCUCGAAAGAGAAAGUGGACACAGGUGCUGCAUGGCUGUCGUCAGCUCGUG
rnacentral:rRNA from 1 species